rnacentral:rRNA from 1 species
GACGAACGCUGGCGGCGUGCUUAACACAUGCAAGUCGAACGAUGAAGCCGGAGCUUGCUCUGGUGAAUUAGUGGCGAACGGGUGAGUAACACGUGAGUAACCUGCCCUUGACUCUGGGAUAACUGCGGGAAACUGUAGCUAAUACCGGAUACGACCCUCGGAGGCGUCUCCUGGGGGUGGAAAGAAUUUCGGUCAAGGAUGGACUCGCGGCCUAUCAGCUAGUUGGUGAGGUGAAGGCUCACCAAGGCGACGACGGGUAGCCGGCCUGAGAGGGUGACCGGCCACACUGGGACUGAGACACGGCCCAGACUCCUACGGGAGGCAGCAGUGGGGAAUAUUGCACAAUGGGCGCAAGCCUGAUGCAGCAACGCCGCGUGAGGGAUGACGGCCUUCGGGUUGUAAACCCCUUUUAGCAGGGAAGAAGCGAAAGUGACGGUACCUGCAGAAAAAGCACCGGCUAACUACGUGCCAGCAGCCGCGGUAA